ensembl:lncRNA
UUCCUUGUAUCCACACUCUUUGUGAAAAUACUUACAGACAAGUAUCCCUAACUUGGCUCCUACUUGGUUUCUAUAAUCUAGUCCCUUCUCUGUCUUUCAUAGUGUGGUAAACUUUCUGUAGUCCUGGCUACUGAUUGGGUAAAUGCUUACUACCUUAUAACAUUUUAAUUGGGCCCUGAUUCAAGGAAAUGUUAUAGAUUUAUUUUUCCUUUACUUAGAAUUUUUACACAUAAGACUUUGAUAGACUACAUUUUCAUCCAGAAAUUAUCUUAUUUAUUGGGAUUUUUUUUAUGUCUUUUAAUUUCUCUUGCCAAUUGAUUCAUAUAUCUCAUAACUCAGCCAUGCAUCCUUAAAUGAUCCCUGUGUUUUUCAAUCACCCUCUUCAAGGGGGGAAUGUAAAAAUAUUAUUAUUUUAAAUUGCGAAGUUUAAAUUCUUUUGAGAAGAAAUUUAGGUUAAGAAACAAGUUACCUCUCCAAAUCCAGAAACUGAACUGCUUGGAGAAGACAUCAUGAAGAUGCCUCCAGACCACAAGCUGCACAAGAAGAUCAAGAAUGAACUUUGGGUGUGGUCAAUUGAACAUUUAUUUAUAUGUGUACUCUUAUGCCAAAGGGGACUGCCCUUUGUAAAUCCUAGGAAAGAAAUGAGGUAGUGAAGAUUAGAGUGGUGGGAAGAAUAGUAUAAUUGCCAAAAUGCUUGACAAAUGGGUUAUUUAAGGCUGACUGUCAUCCCUAAGUUUUUUUCCUGAAAUAUUUUAGCUCCCUAUCUCUUGUUGUUAUCUUUUUUGUGAUGAGGUUAAGUGACUUACUCAAGGUCACACAGAUAGUAAUUGUCUGAAGUAAAAUUUAAACUCUUAACUUCCUGAUUACAGGUACAGCACUAUAUUCACUAAGUCAGCUAGCUGCAUCAUAGACAUACAGAAGGUAAGCUUUGCCUAAGCUUACGCAGGUAGGCAAUGAUUGAGACUAGAUUUGAACUUAGGUCUUCCUUGACAAGAAACCCAGACUUUUAACCAUUGAGCUAUAGCUGCCUCUAUUCUUCUGUAUAUAGCCUCAGAGAGAUGGAGAAGGAAGAGAGAGAAAUCGUUAUUCCCAUUUCACAACUAGAAAAUCUAUGGCACAGACAGUCCAAGAAUAUUCUAUGGAAUACAUUUUCCCUUCCUUAAUACAAAUCACUGAAGAGAUUAAAAGUAGACAGACCUUUAAAUCUAAUAUUUAUAUGCUGUCAUUGCUAUGGAUAUAAGAAAAAGACACAAGUAUAUGUUCGAGAGAAAAAAAAAAGGUCUCCAAAUAGAUUUUUAAACGCCCAUCUGUGGGUGUUUAGACAACUGUAUUUAUCUACUUCCUACAUUCUGCAUAUGGUCCAAUUAAUGCUACAGCGAUUAUUGACAGGAGGAUAUAAUAGCUCAAAAUGUGACAUUUCAAAAUAGAGUGUUUCAUUUCUUCACACACACACAAAACACACUCACAAAAUCCAUAUACUAUUUUGGUUAUACUUACUUCUUCCUCAAAAAGCUUUAAGAUGACAGAGCUAGAUGAGUCAUUAGUUAGAGAGUCAGGCUUGGAGACAGGAAGUCCCAAGUUCAGCUCUGCCCUCAGACAGUUCCUCCUUGUACAAAUCACUUAGCAUCUAUUGCCUAGCCCUUACCACUC